rfam:Pestalotiopsis fici W106-1 unplaced genomic scaffold PFICI_Scf_10, whole genome shotgun sequence.
ACAUACGACCAUAGGUACUAGAAAGCUCGGCAUCCCGUCCGCUCUGCCCUAGAUAAACUAGUAACCGCUGGAUUAGUACUCAGGUGGGUGACCACUGGGGAAUCCCCGGUGUUGUAUGUU